CUUUGUGGUCUUCUUUAACAGUCCUUAUUCUGUUAAAAGGUGAAAUUAUAAAUCUUGGAUGUUCUAAUUUUGCACGGUUCUAAAAGUGGUUUUGUUUUUUUUUUUUUUUGCAGUGAUGUUUCAGGUACUUAAAUAUAAAAACUUUACUCUCAAAAAUUAUUCUCUUCAUGAUAAUCACAACUAUGAAAUAAUAGUAGCUAAGAAAAAACCCUGCUUUUCUAGGCCUGGCAGUGUAGAUGUGACCUAGAGAGAAUCAACGACUUUCUCCAGAAUUCAAGUGUCUGGUUCUCACCGGCCUUUGAAUCUGCCAGAUCCAUCCUCCCAGCAGACGCCACAUACAGGUGACAUCCAAUGUCUUCUCACCUUUCGCAGACAUCCUUCUGAACCACUUGUGCCCACCCACUCUGCACACUGCAUUGUGACCCACUUCCAAACCUCCUGGAUGACUUGAAAUCAAUGCUUACUGAGAACAAAGUUGCAAAAGUAAUAUGGAACUUCUUAACUUGUCGUAGAAAAGGUGGAGUGCUCGUGAUUAUAAGCAUCACGAUUCUAACCUCUGAGGGGUCGAGAGCCAUCAAAGAAAACAGUUUACGAGCUGAGACGAGGUCAUGUAUGAACUCCAGAGACGGCCAGUGAAAGUUGUGAAGGAGAUAAAGCAAAAUGCCCCACCAAUUUUGACCACCUUCACGAGGAGAAUCAGAGAAGGCGUGAAUUCUGAGCAUCUUCACUGGGAGAUCCCUGGUCCCUUGCUCUCCAGAUGCGCUAUAAGAUACAUCCUGCAUCUAGCAUGUUGAAUGAUCUCCAAAAUCUCUGAUGCCUGAGCCAUGUCCUAUUGUCCAGAUUAAGACAUUUUUCCUUUAAAGCAGUACAGUAUAAAGGAUAUGGAGCUGUCAUAUUGGCAGUAGUGGGCUGGGAGACUUCUGGCUCCAGCACGAUUCACUACUUGUGGAGAGCCAGGGCUAUUAGCUGCAGUGGUUGCCUUCAAGAAGCCUCUGAAGAUGGAAUAUUCUGGAGACGUUAAGAGGGACACCCUUUCUGGUUGGAGGAAGACCAUUUUCAAGACAAAAGAAUAUGGGUGGCUGCACUCCUCUGCUAGGACCUACACCAGAGUUAAUAUGAAAGCUUCACAUGUGAGAUAAAUGCACUCAAAGACUCCUCACAAGUAGCUCUUUGGAGCUUCAGAUGUGAAAUGGAUCAUUCCUCAAUCUGUAAUAGACCCUUCUGUGAAGCUCUUCAAUCAAACCUGAGAAUUCAAGGCAUUUUGUAGCAUCCUAAACAGAAGGAUAUUGAAGGGAGCUGAUUCUGCUUUGAUCCUUGUGCUUGUUGUCAAAGCGCUUGGGAUUGAAGAGACUGUUGGCUACAAUUGACUGUGACAAUUAGGAGAUGAUCAGAGCCCUAGAGUGGAGCACUUAAAGGGGCAAGCUGUGACUUGUCAUUUCGAGCAUAUAGUCAUUUCUGUCUGACUAAUACCAUGGAGACUUCAGAGAAGGUGGCUGAGGCGUCUGGCUUACCUACAGUGAUCAGCUCUACAGAGAACUGAACGAUGCAGUGGGGACAUAUAUUUGCGAAGCCACAUCUUUUCUUUUGUGGUAGGAUUGUGACUGCAUAUACACGUACUUAUGUUACUGACCUUCCCAAGUUGGUGCCCAUCUAGAUCCUUCUGCCUGGUGUCAAACAAGCCAAUAGAAUGAGACUAAGUUUGGUUCAGAAGCAAAGGAAAGCUUUAUUCUUGGAUCAGAGAAUGGAGAGGCGUGAGCUCCCACUCUAGAGCCUCAGGCUUUCCCUAUCAGGUCGUGGGUGGGGCUGCUUUACAGGCUUCUCGUCAGCGGGAGGGGAGGGCGUUGAGUUCUCCCGGGGCGCGCAGCUGCGCCGCUCACGCUCCAGAUGGCGGUGCCGGGCGCAGCGUCUCUUCACACGGCCCUCUGCCGCCAUCUUGAAUUGAGUGUUGGGCUCCGCGUCUGCACACGAUCUUGAGCUGAGGCGUCCAGUGCGGCCAUUUUGCUCUAGGAACUCUGGUCUGAAGCGCCGGGCGCAAGGCCUCUGCACAGCCGCCUGUGAGCAAGUGAAACGACCAAGGACAAAGAAAAAAAAGAAAGGUUAGGCUUUAUUUUAUUAUUCUCUGUUUUUGUUUCUGGGUGACACAUAUGUAUGUAAAUAUGUAUAUAUGACCAAGUUUGAAACUCUUGUAAUUCUGAUCCUGGUAGCAUCUUCUGGGAAGGGAAAGAUUCAAUGCACUUUUUUUUUUUUUUUUUGCGGUACGCGGGCCUCUCACUGUUGUGGCCUCUCCCGCC